rnacentral:rRNA from 1 species
GAUGAACGCUAGCGGCAGGCCUAAUACAUGCAAGUCGGACGGGAUUCAGGAGCUUGCUUCUGAUGAGAGUGGCGCACGGGUGCGUAACACGUAUGUAACCUACCUUUAUCAGGGGGAUAGCCUCUGGAAAGGGGAAUUAGGCCGGAAAAAAAUCAAAGCACAGCAUUGUGUAUUGAUCAAAUAUUUAUGGGAUAAAGAUGGGAAUGCGGAACAUUAGCUAGAUGGCGGGGUAACGGCCCACCAUGGCGACGAUGUUUAGGGGAUCUGAGAGGAUGGCCCCCCACACUGGUACUGAGACACGGACCAGACUCCUACGGGAGGCAGCAGUAAGGAAUAUUGAUCAAUGGGCGGAAGCCUGAACCAGCCAUGCCGCGUGCAGGAAGACGGCCCUACGGGUUGUAAACUGCUUUUAUACGGGAAUAAACCCAGAUACGUGUAUCUGGCUGAAUGUACUGUAAGAAUAAGGAUCGGCUAACUCCGUG